CCAAAAUACUAAAACCUCUCCAUCUAAUGGCGUACCCAAUUUCGAAAUCUUUUUGCUUCAUUUCCAUUUUGGUUUUUGUUGUUGCAGUGCAAUUGAUACAGGUAGAAGGUAAUUGCACAAAAAUUAUUGGCAGUUGUGCUGAUGUAAACUGUCCAUACACAUGCAGAAGAAUAUAUGAAAAACAUGCUCGUGUUUUAGGAUCGUCAUGUGCAAUUUACAACUUAUGCACUUGUACUUUGGACAAAUCACCACCAAAUGAUACUCCAAAACAAUGCAGUAUUGGGCUGGGACUCUGCAAUAGUACCUGUAAUGAUGAUUGUUGCAACGCAGAGUGUGUGAAAAAAUAUAAUAGUCGGGGUAGUGGUGGGGCCUGCAUUAAGAUCGACGGUCAAAACUUUUGUUUAUGUCUCUAUAACUCUUGAAUUUAUUCUUAAUUGAAAUAGAUGCAAUAAACAUAUAUUUUCAAUUAUGUACCAACUAUUUUGUAUGAUUUCAGCAUCUGGAGUUUAUUCUUAAUUGAAA